CUCCGCUCCCGACACCCCCCGUCGCCGCCCCCCCCCCGCCCAGUUGUUUGGCUCCGGCGGGGAGUCCAGACGUUUCUUUGCAAAUAACAGCCUGGAGGCGACACUCGCGGAGGGAACGAGGUUUGCACUGAGCACCCCGCCCCCCGGGGCUCUAGCGCUGGAAGACCCUCGCCCUAGGCCCUGCUUUUGAAUCGCUGGUUUUAAAAUGCGAAUCGAAUAAAUCGCGUGGCGUUUCGCA